rnacentral:ncRNA from 1 species
CCUCCACAACGGCUUCCUGGCGUGGGGGAAAUAAUAAUGGAGCA